ensembl:lncRNA
GCGCUGCGCUGUUCAGAGCUCGAGACCAUGACGCCCGAGAACAAGUUCCGCUCGGUACGUUCUACGAAGCCGAACUUCGGCACGCUGAUAGAAUUGGGUGAAUUAAAGUUGUCGAAUGCACGAUCCUUUUAGAAAACAAUUUAUACUGGCUAAAAUGGUAUACAAGUAAAAAUUGUUUAAUAUAACAAAUUAUAAGAAAAAUUAUCUUUGGAUGUUGUGGGGCAGUGCAGUGGUUUAAUAACGGGUUGAGUAAUUUAAGAGGGUUCUUUGUCUUUAACUAUGAUUACAAAAUCUACUGCUGAGCGGCUUAAUAACAGGUUCUUGACGGUAACCGUAAGGUGUGUGUGUGCGCGCGCGCUCUUCAUAGACUGCAGUUCCGUCCCACUUGCUGUAUUCUGCAUUAUGACUCGUUUUUUUAAAUAGUGUUCUCAUAACCAUGAGCCCGACUGAGUAAGUGGCCGCUGUCAGUUAAUGGGUACAUGAUGAUGUGCAAACACCUAUAUUAGCAUUCGCUGCGGCUUCUUUGUAAAAAAAUAAGAUAUUGAUGCGCAACAGGUGACCUUCCAGGUGUGUGUCUAUUCACACGUGCUCUGUGAUGUUACCGUCCGUAGGAUCUUGAUCCCUUCGCAGUCCUAAAGUCGGGGUGCCUCAGGGCAGAGUCAUCCAUUCCCACAGACAGCCCCAGGACUCAAAAUCUCAAGUUUCUUAGGGAGAAAUGCUUACAGUACUUUAGAGUCAUGCUAGGAGCCUCAGAUACAUCUGAAACAGGAGAACGUCCGCUGCCACAGAAUAAUUUCACCCCUGAGAAUAGCACUGUCCCAUCAAAUUCUCCUCAGCAUCUCCGCUAUAGGAAACCCCAGGGCUUUUUUAGUGGGACAUCUGGAACUCUCGCUCAGAUGCCUGGAGGAGACAGGUUAGCCCUGGACAGUCAGCUGCUGAAUGACUCGUGCCUUCCGGAACACCAGAAGCUGAGGCAUGUGCUAACCUGGGCUAAGAACUUCACCAGGGGGCAAGAGGUGAGUGCACGAUGCCAUGGUGAGCAGAAUGUUAGCCAAGCCCAGAGAAUGAACGUGGGCACUGAAGAUGGGAAGCUGAAGGACUCUAUCGAAACAAAUCCAAUGAGAGGAUACAAUAAGAAGGAGGAGAACUACAUCAGAACCUGGGAUGAUAAGGAUGGUAAAGACAUAGGAAACAAAAUAUCCAUUUUGGCUGAAGAAUGUCCGGAUAAAAUGCUGGGAAGUGGUUAUGUGGACUUGUCCAACAGCAAACGGAUCACUUUUUCGAAGACUCUCUGUCAGACCCUGCCCAUGACUAGUUCUCCAGUAUCUGCUGUCAGCCACAGACUCGGCUCUCCUGUUGCGCACUGCAGCCGCUUCCAUGUGAGCGAGAAGCAAGACUCUCCCAGAGAUGAAGAGUUUAUCCCGCAUAGGGAUUUGUAUAAGAUGCUGAAUGGAAGUGAAGACCAACCAAGCUUUGCAUCCUGUGACAAAGACAUUUUCUUUCAGUCUGACCUCUCACUGCUGAACCCAAGAAACACUGCUAUCUGCAAAUCAACUGCUUCCUGCAACUGCAACAAAUACGGUGUUUUGUGGCUCUCUAGGUCUGAAGAUGCCACUAGGACACAUAAUGUUACAUGUAUAGAUGAACUGGUACUGCAACCUCAGAGCAGACCUUCAGCAGGAAUGGUCUUUGAAGCAUCUGGCCCCCAAAUUAAUAUGGUCAGCUCUGAGGAAGAUGAAGAAAAGCCAGCAAUUCAGAAUCAUCUGCUGAGCUCUUAUAACAAUUGGCAUUUGCAGCAAGACACUGAGGCACAGGACCUGGCUGUCAUGCCAGGAAGAGUUUUAGGAGAUGUGAUGGCUCUGACUUGGCUGAAGGAGGGUUCCAAUUUUCUCCAUGAAGUCCACACUGACCAGCCUUGGAACCCAUCCCUGCUAACUCACUCUGUCUCCCCACUUGAGAGUGGCCAUACGAAACCUAGCCUCCACAAGGAAGUUAAGGAGGGCUGUUUUCUGCAUGAAAUCCUCAAAUCCACUCAUAUAACCCCCCUGUCAGAUAAAGAGAGCGUUAUAGAUGGACGACACAAAGGUCCUGCCAACUUGAAUAUCAUCAUAGGUGACACAGCAUUACCUUGUAAGCUUCUGGGAUCUACUAUUCAACAAGAGGACCCUACAGACCUGCCUGAGCCACUGGGAUACCAAAUGGGCCAGUAUGGCCUGUUCUGGGGUGAGUCACACCAAAGCUGCUGUGACCAAACCACUGGUGGGGCCUGUUUUUGUUUCAGAGCCUCUGGUCAAAGCACCCAACAAAGCUUUCAAGUCCCACAAGGCUUGAGUGUCUACGAGGAGUACCUUCUCUAUGUGGCUUGUAUUGAAGACCUUAAAUCACAGAAGGCCCACCGGUGUCCUGACCUGACUAUUAUGAGAGAAAGGUGUGAUACUGACAAACGAUGGGAUGGAGAAGACAAGAUUACUGUCAACAAUGCACAGUGUGGAGGAGUCAGUGAUUACUCUAACAGACAGCAACAUGGAGAAGACAGGGUCAUGAUGGACAACGUAGAGUAUUACACUAAUGGUAUUCUGCAAAAUUCUGGAAAUGAUAAUACAGAUGAAAUAUCAAGAGCAGGAAGAAAAAGAAUACAGCAUAAAGAGAACAUGAAUGGAACAGAAGAACUUCAUCAUGGGUCUGCAGCUUCUGGGGUAAACCAUCACCAGUGUCAAGAAGGUGGAGCAGCACAUGUGCGCCCUUCUUUUAGUUCUGAAUUUGUGAGAUGCACAGAAGUGAGUGCAGAUCCCAUACUGCCCAUGGCUGAGCAUCACCCUGGAGGAACCCCAUUUCCUCCGCCCUCCUCCUCUAACUCCCACACAGCUUUUCUGAGGUUGAGGGACAGUGUUACCUCCUCAAAAGACUGUGUGACGAUGGGAACACCAGUAGCCCCGAUGUGCUCACGUCUGGUGGAGAAGCAGGUGGCUCCUGACAGACAAGAGGACAGGAAAAUGGUACGAACACAGAGUGGGUGGAGAGGAAAGAGGCCACAAGCACAGAGGUCUACACAGAAGUGUAGCGAGCGCUCUGCCCAGGCUGGGCCCAGGAGGCACUGGGAGACAUCAAGCCUACGCUGGUCAUCCUGCUCCAACGGGGAAUCGCUGCCAAGGUCCCAGUCUCCUCACAGACCAUCAUCUGCAGCAGCACUGAGGAGCAGAUCCUCCUCCUCAACAGGGGUCAGAUUGUUGAAUACCGCACCUGUGGGCUCGUCCUUACCGAAGGCCACCCAACAGUGCCGGACGGGUGAGUCAGAGGCCCUACUAAUGAUGUCACUUACUGUGCCAUGAUCACAAAAUUCUGCAUUAUGGUUUUGAAAAUCAGUUCAUCACCGCUUCAUCUUUCCGUUGUGCUCUACUGUUUUACAGUGAAGUGUUGUUGUUUUAAUUCACUGUUCGGAAUAUUGUUUUCUUUCCGCCCAUUUUUUUUCAGACACAGAAAAUCAGGAAAUAUGUACUCAUCUGGAUGCUGGAUAUUGC